UACAGAGGGGGGGCAAGCGUUGUUUCGGAAUUUACUUGGGACGGUAAAGGGCGCGUUAGGGCGGCCUUCUAAGUCGAACGAUGAAAUCCCCCGGGCUCAACCCGGGGAACUGCGUCCGAUACUGGAAGGCUUGAAUCCGGGAGAGGGAUGUGGAAUUCCGAGGUGUAGCGGUGAAAUGCGUAGAUAUCUGGAGGAACACCGGUGGCGAAGGCGACAUCCUGGACCGGUAUUGACCGCUGAGGCGCGAAAGCCAGGGGAAGCAAACGGGAUUAAGAUG
rnacentral:rRNA from 1 species